AACAAGGUUUUGCAGAAAACCAGUGAGAAAUAUAAUAGAAAUGGAAAUCCAAAAGAAAAAAAGAGAAAGAAAGAAAAGUAGAUCUCUCUAAAAUUGCUUUGUAAAAUUAUUUAGUAAAAUUGGAAAGUUAGUAUUAAGUUGAUGGAAAGAAGUAGAAGAUAUACUCCUAAAAUCUUAAUAACUAUUUCAUUAAUGCUAAUGAUAAUAACUUGAAUUGAUGCAGCUCUAAAAUACUGAGCAUAAGUAGCUUCAUAGAUCUUAAAUCAGAGAGAAUAGUUCUGAUCAUUUAUUGUCUACUUUGGGUCAAGUACCAUGGUAUCCUCCAGGGAUACCAAAUGUGUGUGUGUGUGUGUGUGUGUGUGUGUUAGUCUUUCAGUCAUGUCCGACUCUUAGUGACCCCAUGGACUGUAGCCUGCCAGGCUCCUGGGAUUCUCCAGGCAAUAUUGGAGUGGGUUGCUUGCCAGUUCCUUUUCCAGGGGAUCUUCCUGACCCAGGGAUCGAGCCUGAGUCUCCCACAUUGCAGGCGUCGUCUUUACCAUUUGAGCCACCAGGGAAGCCCAAUCAUGCAGCAUUCCCAUCUCCUAGGUUGCAAACCACCUUUGAUGAGGAGCUGCAUCUUCAUUCAUCUCUUCUGUCACCUUGCUCAAGAUUGUUAUUUGAUUAGUCCGCUCAAUAAGAUUGCCCAAAUAUGUUCUUAUUUUAACUUGAGUUUCAAUAAAAUAUUGAAUGGUUCCAGACAAUAUGAUGUUUAAGUAAGCUUUAAGUGCUUGAUAAUACUUAAGUGAUGUUCAAGUCGAUAAGUAAAGAUUGGUCAUGGAGAAUUUUGGUAGUUGAGUAAAAGGAGAGAUGAACAUUUGGGAUACUAUAACUCUUAUUUUUCCCCAAAUAAAAUCAUAAGAUGACUGGCAAACGACAGUGAAAAUUAAACAGGAUGAGUGGAGAAGGAGUGAUCUAGCCAUGUAUUUUCCUAUCUUAUAUGUACAGAACAGUCAUUGGGCUUAUCUGCCCGCAAGUGUGCUAUGGAAGCAGAAGGAGACAGGGGGUUUUCAGAAGAUAAACAUCAUCGUGUGUCAGAGUUGUUGAGAGCUGAAGUAAAGUAUGAAAGGUUUGACCUAAGAUGAUAUGCGAGGUAAAACAUAGGUCCAGGGACUGAAAGAAGUGUAUACACUCUGCCUUCUAAGGAGAGUACGAUUGACUCACUCGCUUAGUUUCCUCCACAUUUUUUCAGAUUUCAUGAGUGUCAGGAGAAUAUAGAUUCAAUGUUUCUAGACCAAAGGUUGUCAGGCAUGGAUGAUUAGGCUGGAGCCUCUCCCCCCAGGGAACAUUUGGCAGAUGUCUAGAGAUAUUUCUGGUUGUCACAACUAGGGUGGGGUGAUAACUUAAUAUCUAGUGGUAAAGGCCAGAGAUGUUGCUAAGUAGCCUAUAAUGUGCAAAACAAGCACAGACAACAAAGAAUUAACUGAUUGAAACUGUCAGAAGUGCCAAAGUUGAGAAACUCUAUUUUAGAUCCCUUCUUCCGAAGUCUUUUCAGAUAACCCCAUUUGACUACUUUUUACUCUUUUGAUUUAAUAUUUUCCAUCACUCAAAAAAGAUGAAAUUAUUCGAACCAAUAAACAAAUUUUGGCCUUACUGAUUAUUAUCAGUAUUGCAAAACUAUACCCCUCCUGUUUGCCACAGCAGCUAUAUGCUUGUUAGGAAGACUGCCUGAGAAAAUGUUUUAUUCUGAUGAAGCAGAAGAUACGUCUUGAUUAAAACAAGGUAGAAAUUAAACCUUUGGUCUCUGAAGAUAUAUUUUUAUAAUAGUCUUUUACCAUUAUAAUCCUUUGGCUAUUUUAAUGCAAACGUGUUUCUGUAAAGCCAUAUUUUGGUUGCUAUAACAACAUGACGUAGCUCCUGAUGAGUUCUUGCCUUAAUGUUGCUUUUAAAAAGUUGGGGUUGCUAUGACUACAAAAUGCUGCUUUAUUUUCAGCAAGCUUUUCUCCCCCCCUGGUAAUUUUGCUUUCAAAAUAUGUAUGUGCACAUGCAUGCAUAUGUGUGUACUUCUACUAACAAGUGUUAUGAAAGUCUAUGUGUAGUAAAGUCAAAGUUUGAAUCGUGCAUUGUUAUUCUAAAAUUGAUUCACAUAAUGUUGGAUGAGUCCAGGUUAAAGAUGCUUUUUUUUGCCUACAAAUUAUUUAACUACUUAAUAACAGGCUCUUCAUCAUUGUUUCGUGAUUUACUUAUCACAUCUUCCAUGUUAUAGCCUCUUCCUGUUUUCCAGCGUAUUUGUACCUCAAUCCUGGAAGGGUCAUUUGAACUUGAAAAAUGAGGAAGUCUGUUGAGUCUUAAUAUAUUCUUGAUUUUUGAUGAAGUCUAUUUUACAACACUGCUGAUUAUGGUCUUCUUUAUAUCAUGAAUUGUAACAAGAUGCCCAUUGCUCAGAGUUUUUCUUAUUCAAAUUUUGAGAAAGCCAGAAGGCUGAAAGUUAGGAUACUUUGGUUCUGUUAUUAACUCUGUCACUAUGAACUAACCACCUUAUUUCUCUGGAGGAGUGUUUUCUGAAGUAUCUAGACAAUGUGAAAUUUUCUAGUAGCCAAGUUAAUCAGGGUUAAGUUUAAUAAUUACUAUCUAACAAAAUAUAUCCAAAAUACUGCUAUUUCAAAAUGUUGAUGUUUAAAUCAUAUUAACACAGCUUUUUACAUUAUUUUUCUAUUAUCUUGGAAAUCCAAGGGAUAUUUUACACUUAUAACAUAUAUCACUUAAGAUGAGCCACAUUUCAAGUGCUCAGUAUCACAUGCGACUAGUGGCUAUCCUGCUGGACAAUUUUAGCUUUAGGUCUCCAUCAAAUUUGGCCAUGUGAUGUCAUUUAUUGUUUAUAGAUCAUCACUUAAUGGAAAGUCUUUGUGAAGUCUCAAGAGUGUACAGAUGAUUAGAAAAACUCUUUCUGGUUUAUGAGAGAGAAGAGAAAGGGAGAGAAAGGGAGAGAGGGCAAGAAGAGAAGAGUUAACAGACAGAGAAGGGGGGCAGAGGGGUGGAGGAGGGUGAGGUUGGAAGGAAGGCAGAAAGGAAGAAAGAAAGAAAACUUCUUUUAGGUCUUUUCUAGCUAUUCAGUGCUAUCAUCCAUAAUCUAAACUUGCUGCUGCUGCUGCUGCUAAGUUGCUUCAGUUGUGUCCGACUUUUGUUAUAAUUAAGAAAUAUUGAAAUGAGUCAGACAGUUCCCUGUUACUUUUGUGUGACUUAUUGACAGUUCUAUUCCUAACCACUUGGGGUAUGCUUAGGACAAAUUAACUGCACUCUACAUGUUUAUUGAAUUCAAUCUCCUUUCUUGUCAAAAUAUAUGAUUUAAUCCAAGAUUAAAUAAACAUUUUCAGAGCAAAAUUCAGUUUGAAAAAUCCCACCACUCACAAAUAUCUUAGAACAAUGUAAAGAAGAGUGGGUAAAGGUUUAAUAUAAAGGGGUAUCAAGUUAAAAGGUGUUAUUCUUUCUCUGCAUCUUGUCUUUCUUGAUGUUGGAAGAUUUUUGUUUAGAGGUAAUCAAGGAUUAACACAAUUGCCUUAAAUUGUUUUGGUGUCAUACUGCAGGUGACAUUGCCAGGACAUCAUUGUUGUGUCCAGAUCCCUUAUUACAUUUCUGCUGCUUUAUUCCUGUCCUGCCUUUUCUCAUUUAGCAGACACCAAAUCAAAGUGAACCAUGUGACUCUUGCCUGCUCAGUGAAGGAAGUUUCUGUUUUCUUUUUAACCAUGUGUCAUUUUUUAUCACCAUUAUUUUAGAAAUAAAGUGGCUUAUUGGGUGUUUUUUUUUAAGCUGAGCCAUUUUGCCUGGACUGAAAAGGUCUGGAUGAACUAAUCAGAUUUGGAAAGAAGAAAACAGUGUUACAAUUUGAGUAGAUUCCUAAAUCAGGUGGCAGAUGGUAAUCUAGGUUGUGAAUUAAAAUGUUUGAUGCUGGCUCUUCACAUUUACAAAGCAGUUCAACUAGUUCCCAUCAUUUGUCACAGAUAUUUUUCUUUUUUACCUCUUUGCAGUAAUGCAACAUAAGGUCUGACAUUUCCUAUCUCUUUGGCCUUUGUAAAUUGGAAUUAUAUUCAAUACAUUUUAUUUUCAGGGUUGAAGAUGUAAGAUGAUUUUGAAAUCCUUGUUUCACAGUGAGCGAUCAUGCUAUACUACCCUGAGGGGUUUGCCCAAAAUAAACAUUAGAAUAUGGUUAAAAUGGGAAUAACCUUUGUUUUCUGUAAUCAUAUCACUUCUGUCUGAACUUGUAAAUGAAAUUGUUUCUUUAAGAACAUUUAUUUACACUGAACACUAGUUUAUAACACUAGCUACUAAAAUGAAAUGACUCAGAAGCCCUUUAAGUUACUCACAAUAAGCUCUUAUUUAUAUAUAGACUAUGAGGAUUGUUCAUUUUCACAUUUUUCUGUGUAAUUUUGAAUAUUCUUUUUCUAAUUGUCUUUAUUUUUCCUGGAAAAUAAGCAAGGAAGAAUAAUUUAGUUAGCUUUGCUAUUGCCAGUUGAUACUAGUUAAAAGUUUGAUGUAGAUGAUAUUUAUAAUCAUUUGCAUUUUUAUUCUAACAUAUUUUUAAAAUGUGGAGCCCCUUGAACAAAGAUUAUUACUUAUAAAGACUUCCUUUACCUCUUGGGCUGAAAGAAUUCAGUUGUUUACUCAUUAGCCUAAAAGAUGCACUACAAACAUGGAGUUUGAGAGACUUUGAAAUUAACUAGUUUGGUAACAUUUGAACUUUUUUUUUUGUUAAGUUCAUUUCUCAAAAGAAAGUAUACCCCUGAGGUUCAAAAUAUUAAAUACAGAUUGAAGAACCAGAAAAGAAGGGAAGGGAGAGAGGGGUUGGGAAAGUGCCCUCCCCACCUGGAACACUCAGAGAUGGCUUGGAAAGCCACACAUCAACUUGAACUCCAUCCAUGUCCAAGUAAGAUACCUGGAAUUUAAGUGAUUUGUUCAAGAUCAGGCAGCUCUGCCUGAAAGCCUGUAAGUUUUUCAUUCAUUCAGCAAAUAUGUGAGUGCCUAUUUAAAUUUUUUGACCAUUUUUAAAAUGUAUUAUAAAUAUUGAUACUAUUAUUUAUUUACUUUUGCUAUUAAAAUUUCUUAGGGCUAUGCCUAGGUCAAUAGCAAUUUUUACAUAGGUGCUUGGUUAAUUCAUUAUUAGUUUUAUUCAGUAUUUCUCACAUCUUUUCUUCUAAGUUUAAACAUGUUUCAACACUGCCCUCCCCCUCCAGACUACAUGAACAGUUGCAUAAAGGAGCCUCUAAGUUUUAAGGAUUUUUGGUUAAUGUAAGCCUGGUAAUCAAACUAGUGACUCUGAGACCUGAUGAAGUUGCUAUUCUGAGAGUUUUAUAGUUCAGCCAUUACUGUUUUCAAUGUUGUGUUUCGUUUGGAAAUAUAUGAGAAAUAUGUGUGUAGUGUUACUUUCUUUUAUUUUGGCUAAUUUGGUAGUGACAUUUCCAACCGAAGACAAAGUAUGUAGACAAGUUGUACCCUGUAAAGAAUUUAAUCGUACUUUUGCAUUUAUGUUUGAUAUAGAAAGGUCUGCUGAAGUGUUCAAUUAGUGACAAAUUAGCCUUAUCUGUUGGAGAAGGAAAUGGCAACCCACUCCAGUAUUCUUGCCUGGAUAAUUCCUGCCAGGCUACAGUCCACUGGGUUGGACACAACUGAGCGAUUAACACUGGCCUUACCUGUAAAGAAUAAAUCAGAGGCCAGGGGAUCAUCCUGAUGAAAGAGAAUAUUAAAGUGCUCAUUUAGAGUUUAGAAUGCAAGUCACAGUAUGUAUUUUUACAGUUUAUUUUUUAAAAUGAAUAGUCUUUCAAUAACAAGAUAGAGUGUGGUGUUCCCUGUAACACAUCUUCUUCUACCAUCCUUUUAUUUUUAUUUUAAAUUUAUUUGUUUUUUUAAUUGCAGGAUAAUUGCUUUACAGAAUUGUGUUGGUUUCUGCCAAACCUCAACAUGAAUCAGCCAUAGAUGAUUGCAUUAUCAUCCCAGACAGGACAGCUAGACUCCCCUGAGCAGCUGAGCAGGGAGAAAGAAGCCAUUUACAUAUUCUCUACAAUCAAGCUCCAAAGAAUUUUGGAGAUAAUAGGUAAUUUGUCACUUGCCAUCAGUACUGUCCUAAAGCUCAUUCAUAGACAUGCAAGUGGGUCAUUUCUAGUCCCUGGUUGAUGAUGUUUUCAAGACGAUGAAAGAAAAGAAACACAUUAUCAUCUAGUAAGAUAUUACUAGAGAAGCAAAGUCAAUUGCGCUUGCUUCUUAUAUAGGAGUGCUAUACAUCAUUGUUUCUUUAACUUGGAAAGUUUCUUUUAGGCUGGACUUGAAACACAACGAUGGCUCAUUGAAAUCUCUUAAUGAUGCAUGUAAGUUUGCUAAAGCUAGUAUUUACCUAAAUGAUUGUUAUGUUUAGGAGAUGGCUGGUUUCCCUUUUAUGUUUCGACAAACAAUGGUGAAACAAUUUGAUUCAUGUAUAUCAUCAUUUGAAGAUAAUUUGGACUAUAGAAAAAUUUGUGUCUUGAAAGUUUAGCCUCAUGUCUGGCACAAUAGAUGUUCCAUAAAUAUUUGUAACACAAAACCUAAGAUUGUAGCAAGCCUUGAAAAAUAACUGAGGGAGUUUCUAAGAGUCAGCCAUUGGACAAUAAUAUGUAAAAUGGCUUUGAACAUAAAAGUAAAUGAAACAAACAAAAACUUCAAAGUCUGCGACCAUUAGCUCUCAAUUCAUUUGAAUAUGCUGAAGGCACAAGGUCCCAGACCAUGCUCUUAUACCCACCUUAGAGACAUGAGGAAGAAUUCUUCCUGCCCCAUUUUUAGUGUAGUCUUAGAUGAAGGAAAAAAAAAAAUAAUACAGUGAUAAUGCAGCCACUGUCACUCCUACUUUAAGCUAUUUCAGACUUAAAGGUCUGUGUUUCUCAGGCCAUAAGGUCUAGAGCCAGAGUUACACCCAGUCAUUUCUUUGUGACUUUAAUUUUCAUCUCCCUGUUGCUGGUACUUAGUAAGUACUAGGCAAUGCUAUAAAGCUUUACAUAAAAUAACUCAGGUAAUCCUCACAAUGGCCCCAGGAGUACAACUGGUAUCCCAAUUUACCUUUGAGAAAGUAAAGCACAGAGAAGUUAUUACAACAUAGGGCCACACUGCAAGACGUGGCUCAGGGAUUUGAGCAGGGUGAUUGUCUUAGGUAAGAGAGGCAAAUUGACCUGGAUGUCUUCAUCUGGAAAUUGGAGAUUUGAACCCACUACAACUUCAGAGACUGUGCUCAAACCAUUGUGCUAAACCAACACCAACUGUUCUUUGAUAUUGGCUGAAAUUAUGCUAUGAGUGAUGUUUGACAACCUCUGAUUCCUCAUUAGUUGUUUCUGAAGGACAUUCAACUGUUAUCAGACAUUCAAAUGUUAUCAGACUUAGGUUACUUUAUCUCUGUUGAGUACGUGACCUCAGGGAUCAGGGAAUUUUGAAGCUAUAGACCAGUUCACAAACUUCUAGGUCUUAGAUUUCCUUUACACUUUUAAAGUUUUUGAGGACCUCAAAAAGGUUUCAGUGUCAUAGGUUUCACUUUGUAGGUCCUCUUCCUUUAUGUUUGUUCUGUAUCUUACAUACUUUAUCUUAUUUAUGUAAUCACAUACUCACCUCUGAUGCAUUGUCUUGAGAAGGCUUUGAAAAUUUGAGGGGUAAUUAAGUAAAUUAACCAGAAGGAUACCAUCUUGACCACCCAAGUCUCUAGAGCCCAGUUAUUUCUGUUGUGCAGGGUCAGUGCAAAUAUCUUGCCAUUUCAUCAGAGAACCAAACCUCUGUUUGUAAUGAGGAAAAAUUCAAACCUUUUUGUCUCUCUUUUGUUUUUUUUAAUCAACUAUCUCAGAACUUCAGAAUGUCACCCUUAUUUUGUUCUAGAAUUCUGUUGAUUUGACCUGGUGAUUUGAAUGUUGUUUGUAUCUCUAUUUUGAUUUGAUUUCUGUAAAGAUAGCUAUGCUGAUGAGUAAUUCUCAGCUCUGACGACAUCCCACUUAACAUCUAGUAAACUUGUUUCUCAGUUUGCAUUCUGUUUGUUGGAAAGAUACAGUAGUGUUUUAAGUAGAAUUCAUUAUUAAUCACGGCUUUUAAGUCAAACUAGGGCUUUUGAUUUAGUUCAUUACUUAGGAAACAGAAUUAAAGGUGACAGAAAUGUGACUACCCUUGCCAUCCUUCCUAAAUAAUCCUUCCCAUUUCUCUGCACAGUUUAUUGGUUGGAUUUGCUUACUUUCCAAAUGUUUGUCAUAUGCCAAAGCUGAUGCCUUUUGGCAGUUUCAAAGUAUGGGUCUAUACUUUCAGAUAAUGUACAUUCUUGUAGAAAAUAUGCACAAUCUCAUCACAGGCUACAUGUCGUGCACCUCUUGUUAUGCACUGCUUCCUAUCAGUUUGAAGAAUCUUUUUGUUCAUUAUUAUUAUUAGCAAAUGAAAUAUAUUUCCUUCAAAGGAAAACUGAUGUAUGAGACAGAUUGAGUCACAUGCUUGACAAGGACAAUUACUCAGGUUUCUCUCAGUUAAAAAUAUCGAAACCACACAUUGUAAUCAGUAGAAAAAUUUUGUUAUCUGCCUUAUAUGAGAACAUUUGCAAAUGUGUUCAUACUCGUAGAUAUCUGAUAGAUCACAGCAAAAUCUGUCAGAAUGUUAUAGGUUUCUUGAGAAACUAAGGAGAGACAGAAAGUUUGCUUUAAAUAUGGUAUAGUUGAAGGAGUUUCAGCUCUGGAAGCAAGCUUUUAGUAAUCUGGUACUUCACUGGCAUCUUAGCUACCUAUAGUUCAUGUCAUUUUUCAUUUUUAUGAUAGAAUCCCAGUUCUUAAGAAGGAAGAAACUCUGGAGAAUUGCUUAUGGAACAGUGCCAUAUGCAAAGUAUCCAGUUGCUAGAGAAAAGCUAAAGAAAAAUGGACAUAUUUCAUUAAGAAUUGUUCAUAUUGGAACUUCCCUGUCCGUCCAGUGGUUUAGAGUCCAUGCUCCCUCCCAAUGAAAGGGAUAUGGGUUCCAUCCCUGGUCAGAGAAGAUUCUGCAUGCCCUCUGGUACAGCACCCCUCCACACACACACAAGUAAGAGCCAGUUGUUCAUAUUGAAGUUGAUUCUCAUGAAGUCAUUCCGUAAGCCUCUUCUGCUCCUCUCCCACCUCUUUCCGUCUACAGGCUUUACACUUACCUUUGCGUCUCUGAAGCUGGUGGCCACUUUAACAAAUGGUGCUAAUGUUUUGUUUUGUUAUUUUUUUUUCUAUUUCCCUGGCAAAGCAAUGCAAGAAUUACCAUACAUUUUCUGUAAUGCUUAUGCUUGCUGUUUUCCCUCUUAACAGUGUAUCUUGGACAUCAUUCCACAAACCAUGGUCCUCCAUGGAUGAUUAAUGAUCCAGAAAGUUUUUGAAUCUCAUGGUUGAAAAGCUCUUAAUUUUUUAGCCUGAUCCAGAGUGAAAUGACAGGAAGGCAACUCUGUUACUGUAUCAUGCCUGGCCUUUGAUUCAUAUGUUGGAGUACCUAAUUUUUUUUUUAAACUUAUAAUGUAUUGGGAACUCCGUUCUGUCAUGAGAAAGUUACGGCAGUGAAAAUGGAGGUAAGUGUGCCCCAAAGCUACCAGUGAUGAUUGAGGAAGCCUGGUUGUUGGACCAAGCCCUCUCAUGAAGUGAUUUGAAUACAAGUGUUCUUUUAGGAUUUACCGUGUGAGGAUAGACCCUGUUUUCUACCAAAUGCCGCUAAAGCUGAGGAAGAGGGCAGCUGCUCAGUUAAGCUCAUGUUCUGUAGAUGCUGCCAUUUGUAUUUGUUUUUUUUUGUUGUUGUUGUUGUUAUUCUUGGUCUCUAUAAUGAACAGAAAUCUGCCUCCUAAUAAAGAGUACUGUUGUUUUUACCUCUUAUCUCUGAAGUUUCUUAGGCUCUAAUUCCUCUUUUUGUCACCACUGGAAAUCUGUGUAUAUGGCAUCAUCUUUCAAGUCUUUUUCUUUUUGCAACUGAAUGUUCACAAGGUCUCAGUUACUGCCCUUUUUUGGAUAGCUCUGAUUUAUCAGUAUCUCUCUUCAAGUGGGAUUGAGGCAGAUUGUUGGGUAUAGGGGGUUUCCUUAGGGAGAUUACACACAUUGGUAAAGAAUUAAAAUAUAUGGAACAAAAGACAUGGCUAAGUUAUGGAACAUCCUUGUAACUGACUAGUAUCCAGUCUUUAUAUUUUAAGAGAAAAUCUCUGACCAUGAAAAUGUGCAAAUUACAUUAAAAUACAGGACUCUCAAUAGCUUAGAAGGAUGAUCUUAGUUGUGAUAAAAUAUGUGCAUAAUAUACAUGUAGAAAAAGGAGUGAAACUUAUCAAAAUGAAAAUGAUGUGGGAUAAUGGUGCAUUUUAUGUUCUUAUUCACUGUCUUCUGUUUUUUAGAUAAAUAUAUAUUCUUUUUUUUCCACGUAUAGAACUCUACAUUGUAGUUGAGGUGAGAAAUGGUGCGCACACAGUAUAGUGGGAUCAUAACCAUUUAUCUGUGCGUUGCUUCUUUUAAGGCAAUCAAAGCUUAAGUAAGGCAUUUCACAUUUUAGAUUAUCUAUAAAGGGAUGCAUUUGGAAAAAGCCCUUUUCAUGUUAUUCCUUUGAAGCCUCUAGUUCUCAUCACACUCCAUUUCUUUAAUGGGGAAGAGGGGUUUGCUUAAUUGGAUCUUAGGGUAUAAUAUUUACUGCAAAAUUUGAAUAUAGGGAAAUAAUUACAAGGGAAUUCCUUUAAGCAUUGUGGAUUAGAAUGAUUAUGCUAAAGGAAAAAAAAAGAAAGCAGUGUGUAUUGGGGAAGAUUUAGAGAAAAGAGAACUUAUACAUUACUCAUGGGGUUAUAAAAUGGUACAAUCAGUUUGGAGAAAAGAUUGUCAGUUUCUUUAAAAAUAAUGAAUAUAAACUUACCAUAUGACCAACAGUUUUACUUAUAAGGUGUCUAAGAGAAAUAAAAGCAGGAAAUUCUCUGGUGAUCCAGUGGCUAGGACUCUGCACUUUCACUGCUGAGAUUCAGGUUUAAUCCCUGUUCAGGAAACUCGGAUCCAGAGAGCUGAGUGGCACAGCCAAAA